AUUGAACGCUGGCGGCAUGCCUUACACAUGCAAGUCGAACGGCAGCACGGGUGCUUGCACCUGGUGGCGAGUGGCGAACGGGUGAGUAAUACAUCGGAACAUGUCCUGUAGUGGGGGAUAGCCCGGCGAAAGCCGGAUUAAUACCGCAUACGAUCCACGGAUGAAAGCGGGGGACCUUCGGGCCUCGCGCUAUCGGGUUGGCCGAUGGCUGAUUAGCUAGUUGGUGGGGUAAAGGCCUACCAAGGCGACGAUCAGUAGCUGGGCUGAGAGGACGACCAGCCACACUGGGACUGAGACACGGCCCAGACUCCUAAGGGAGGCAGCAGUGGGGAAUUUUGGACAAUGGGCGAAAGCCUGAUCCAGCAAUGCCGCGUGUGUGAAGAAGGCCUUCGGGUUGUAAAGCACUUUUGUCCGGAAAGAAAUCCUUGACUCUAAUACAGUCGGGGGAUGACGGUACCGGAAGAAUAAGCACCGGCUAACUACGUG
rnacentral:rRNA from 1 species